rnacentral:lncRNA from 1 species
GCAUCGGGAGCGAAGGACAGAAACGAUGGAUGGUUACGCUGCUUGGGUCUCGGCACGUUCGAAUUGGCAAAGUUCCGAAUUUGUCGCUGUGUUUUGUACGCUUGUGCGCUCGUCAUUUGCCGUCAUCGCGCGGAGAUAUUUGCGCUGGAUGUCUUUCACUUCGUGUACAAAACUCUGCACGCUGCGGCAUCGAAGAAGUUGUCCUGUGUUUGGGUGCACGUAUGCGCUUGGACACGGAUAUAUCCUGCUUGCUCUCAACGGGUGUUCAACAGUCUACGCGCACUCGUAACUUGCUCAUGAGGCAAGUUGCUGUUGUGCUGGAGCUGAGAAGAGGUCUGCUGCCUGCAAUGGGUCCAUCUCUCUCAAGUUAUCGCAGUAUUGUAGCUCUCAAAGUUCAAAAAAGUAUGGUGGAAGCUGUUGCCAAGGUUCCGACCAGAAAAGACAGCCAGUAUAAAAGGGUCCACACCACUGAUCUCUACUACAGGGGAUGGACAGCACAUCGAGCACCCUCGACUGAAGCCAACCUUGUCCCGGAAGUUGGUGCUUCACAACUUUGCGGCAGCACUUCGUUUACACGGGUGUGUGGCAUUUCUUCCCCUAACAUGCCUGCCUGAUGUGCCAUAACCUACCCAAGCAGUGUUUCGAGGUGUCCAGAAUUUUUCCAUUGCAGUGUCUACAGUGUAGCUAACAUAAGUGGCGUGCAAUGGGGACACUGGUA